rnacentral:rRNA from 1 species
UACGGGGGGGGUAAGCGUUGUUCGGAAUUACUGGGCGUAAAGGGCUCGUAGGCGGCCAACUAAGUCAGACGUGAAAUCCCUCAGCUUAACUGGGGAACUGCGUCUGAUACUGGAUGGCUUGGAUUCGGGAGAGGAAUGCGGAAUUCCAGGUGUAGCGGUGAAAUGCGUAGAUAUCUGGAGGAACACCGGUGGCGAAGGCGACGUGCUGGGUUGCGACUGACGCUGAGAUGCGAAAGUGUGGGGAGCAAACGGG